CCUACGGGCGGCAGCAGUAGGGAAUCUUUCACAAUGGGCGAAAGCCUGAUGGAGCAACGCCGCGUGCAGGAUGAAGGCCUUCGGGUUGUAAACUGCUUUUAUAAGCGAGAAAUAUGAUGGUAACUUAUGAAUAAGGAUCGGCUAACUACGUGCCAGCAGCCGCGGUCAUACGUAGGAUCCGAGCAUUAUCCGGAGUGACUGGGUGUAAAGAGUUGCGUAGGUGGCAUAAUAAGUAGCUAGUGAAAUCUGGUGGCUCAACCAUUCAGACUAUUAGGUAAACUGUUAAGCUCGAGACCGUUAGGGGUAACUGGAAUUUCUAGUGUAGGAGUGAAAUCCGUAGAUAUUAGAAGGAACACCAAUAGCGUAGGCAGGUUGCUGGGACGGUUCUGACACUAAGGCACGAAAGCGUAGGGAGCAAACGGGAUUAGAUACCCCAGUAGUC
rnacentral:rRNA from 1 species